GCCGCUUUCCUACCCAUUCCUUCCCUUCCACCCCUUUUCCUACCGAAAGGGGUGAAAACAGCAAUGGCCGCUUUUCUACCCCUUCCUCCGAAAGGGGUGGGACUAGUAUUUACUACAGCAGACGAACAAUUUUGAAAAAGUGUGGGCUGUCAAGCUUACUAAUCUCUGUUAUUGUUUUCAACUUGAUUGAAAGGGAAUACUAGUUUUGGAAUUUACUAACUCUGUGUUCGAUUUUGUGAAAUCUCCGUUUCGUUCGUUUUGUUUAGUCCGAAAUGGAAAACUUUCGUUUCUUUUUCGAGGCCUUGUUUCCAUGGCAAGCAUGGCCCAAGACUAGCAAUCGGAAGGACUCUACUGAUUCCCUUACGCUUUACGCAUCAUCAACAGCAAUAGAAAGUGCACUCAAUGCCAUCGAGGUUCACACGAGAGUCGCCAAGACAUUGGGAAAAUAUAAUAGCAAACCUUUUAAUAUCGAAUUCUUCGUGCGUAUAAAAUCAAGUUUAUUCGUUUUGCUUUUUAUUCUCAGUUUUCCCGACAUGAAAAAGGGAUUCUGUCACGUUUGAUUGAAAAUUAAAAGUUAAAUGCAGAAACAAUAAGUAUUUUGAAGUUUCCGUUGAUUGAAGAACAACGAUCUGAAUGAAAACGAUGUGACUUGUAGCUAAAAAUAGAAUUGUGUGUAACCAACAAUUUUUAAUCAGAUUCUCAAAGCAGUUGCGAUCCAAGUUUUGCAAAUUUUGUUUAACUAUAACAAGGAACUAACGAGUAAAGAAUCUGUCAGUAAUGAUUCCAAAUUUAUUGUCCGAUGAAAAAGAACGUAGAGAGCGAGCAACACAUGAGAAAUUCAGCACAAACAUUUUAUAGAGUCAAAAUAAUUAAA